ACUCCUACGGGAGGCAGCGGUGAGGAAUAUUGGUCAAUGGGCGCAAGCCUGAACCAGCCAUGCCGCGUGCAGGAAGAAUGCCCUAUGGGUUGUAAACUGCUUUUAUUUGGGAAUAAACCUCUUUACGUGUAGAGAGCUGAAGGUACCAAAUGAAUAAGCACCGGCUAACUCCGUGCCAGCAGCCGCGGUAAUAC
rnacentral:rRNA from 1 species